GAGACGGUAAGGAUUGACGGACUGAAGGCUCUUUCUCGAUUCCGUGGAAAGUGGUGCAUGGCCGUUUUUGGUUGGUGGAUCGAUCCGUCUGGUUAAUUCCGUUAACGAACGAGACCUCGGCACUCCGAAUAGCGCGGCGGACGUCGCGGCCUCCGGGCCGUCUUCCGCACGAGCUUCUUAGAGGGACCGUCCCCCGCCGGGGAAGGAGGUGCGAGGCAACGACAGGUCUGUGAUGCCCUUAGAUGUUCUGGGCCGCACGCGCAUUACACUGACGCGUCCAACGGGUGACUCCCGACCCGAAGGGCCGGGGAAUCCGCAAGGCGCGUCGUGAUGGGGAUUGAACGUUGCAAUUGUUGUUCACGAACGAGGAAUUCCUAGUAGGCGCGGGUCAUCAACCCGCGCCGAUUACGUCCCUG
rnacentral:rRNA from 1 species